rnacentral:rRNA from 1 species
AUUGAACGCUGGCGGAAUGCUUUACACAUGCAAGUCGAACGGCAGCACGGGGGCAGCCCUGGUGGCGAGUGGCGAACGGGUGAGUAAUACAUCGGAACGUGCCCGGUCGUGGGGGAUAACGUAGCGAAAGUUACGCUAAUACCGCAUACGAUCUGAGGAUGAAAGCGGGGGACCUUCGGGCCUCGCGCGAUCGGAGCGGCCGAUGUCAGAUUAGGUAGUUGGUGGGGUAAAGGCCUACCAAGCCGACGAUCUGUAGCUGGUCUGAGAGGACGACCAGCCACACUGGGACUGAGACACGGCCCAGACUCCUACGGGAGGCAGCAGUGGGGAAUUUUGGACAAUGGGCGCAAGCCUGAUCCAGCCAUUCCGCGUGCGGGACGAAGGCCUUCGGGUUGUAAACUGCUUUUGUACGGAACGAAAAGGCUCUGGCUAAUACCUGGGGCUCAUGACGGUACCGUAAGAAUAAGCACCGGCUAACUACGUG